CUAAGAAUAUUCCGCAAUGGACGAAAGUCUGACGGAGCGACGCCGCGUGGAUGAAGAAGGCCGAAAGGUUGUAAAGUUCUUUUGCUGGGGAAGAAUAAGUGUGGGAGGGAAUGCCCGCACGAUGACAUGAACCGGUGAAUAAGCCCCGGCCAACUACGUGCCAGCAGCCGCGGUAACACGUAGGGCGCGAGCGUUGUUCGGAAUUACUGGGCGUAAAGGGCAUGUAGGCGGUCUGGUAAGCCUGGCGUGAAAGACUGCAGCUUAACUGCAGGGGUGCGCUGGGAACUGCUGAGCUUGAGUGACGGAGAGGGAGCUGGAAUUCCUGGUGUAGGGGUGAAAUCUGUAGAUAUCAGGAGGAACACCGAUGGCGAAGGCAAGCUCCUGGCCAAUUACUGACGCUGAGGUGCGAAAGUGUGGGGAUCAAACA
rnacentral:rRNA from 1 species